rnacentral:rRNA from 1 species
AGUGAACGCUGGCGGUAGGCCUAACACAUGCAAGUCGAACGGCAGCACAGUAAGAGCUUGCUCUUACGGGUGGCGAGUGGCGGACGGGUGAGGAAUACAUCGGAAUCUACUUUUUCGUGGGGGAUAACGUAGGGAAACUUACGCUAAUACCGCAUACGACCUACGGGUGAAAGCAGGGGAUCUUCGGACCUUGCGCGAUUGAAUGAGCCGAUGUCGGAUUAGCUAGUUGGCGGGGUAAAGGCCCACCAAGGCGACGAUCCGUAGCUGGUCUGAGAGGAUGAUCAGCCCCACUGGAACUGAGAAACGGUCCAGACUCCUACGGGAGGCAGCAGUGGGGAAUAUUGGACAAUGGGCGCAAGCCUGAUCCAGCCAUACCGCGUGGGUGAAGAAGGCCUUCGGGUUGUAAAGCCCUUUUGUUGGGAAAGAAAAGCAGCAGGUUAAUACCCCGCUGUUCUGACGGUACCCAAAGAAUAAGCACCGGCUAACUUCGU